UACGGGGGGGGCAAGCGUUGUUCGGAAUUACUGGGCGUAAAGGGCUCGUAGGUGGCCAACUAAGUCAGACGUGAAAUCCCUCGGCUUAACCGGGGAACUGCGUCUGAUACUGGAUGGCUUGAGUUCGGGAGAGGGAUGCGGAAUUCCAGGUGUAGCGGUGAAAUGCGUAGAUAUCGGGAGGAACACCGGUGGCGAAGGCGGCGACCUGGGACAAUACUGACGCUGAGGUGCGAAAGCGUGGGGAGCAAACAGG
rnacentral:rRNA from 1 species